rnacentral:lncRNA from 12 species
CUUAAGUGAAUGAGCCACCCAGGAACCCCUCAAUUUAGAAUUUGACUAGAGGACAACUUGUCCAUGAAUGUCACUGGGAAUUUUAAUGAAACAAUAUUAGCGUAAUUCAAGGAAAGAGAAGAGUUAAUAAACCUUACCAAAUUUACAUGUCCUCUCUUUCUCUUUCCCUCUCUUUCUCUCCCUUGCUUCUUUUCCUCCAGCUUCUCUCUCUCUUUCUCUAUUUCUCUGUUUCAAGUGUUUAUGGUGAGAAUUAAGUAUGACUAUGAAGACUCUCCAAACAAGCACUGGUCUGAGGAAUGAGCUUGUUGCCUGCUCCAUGGUGAUGAGCACAAGGAGCCAGCAAUGGGUAGAUGGGAAAACCUUAAUCAAAUAACAGUUUUGGAAGAAUUCCACAUUGAGACUUUCUCUCUGUAUAGAUCAAAGAAUGACAGGACACAAAUGUUUGGAGAAGGAAAGAUG